rnacentral:rRNA from 1 species
GACGAACGCUGGCGGCGUGCUUAACACAUGCAAGUCGAACGAUGAAGCCUUAGCUUGCUUUGGUGGAUUAGUGGCGAACGGGUGAGUAACAUGUGAGUAACGUUCCCAGGACUCUGGAAUAACCGCGGGAAACCGUGGCUAAUACCUGAUAGGUGCCGAGGCCGCAUGGUCUUCGGUUGGAAAGUUUUUGCGGUUUUGGAUCGGCUCAGGGCCUAUCAGCUUGGUGGUGGGGGAAUGGCCUACCAAGGCGACGACGGGUAGCGGGCCUGAGAGGGCGACCGGCCACACUGGGACUGAGACACGGCCCAGACUCCAACGGGAGACAACAGUGGGGAAUAUUGCACAAUGGGCGCACGCCUGAUGCAGCAACGCCGCGUGGGGGAUGACGGCCUUCGGGUUGUAAACCUCUUUUAGUAGGGAAGAAGCGCAAGUGACGGUACCUGCAGAAAAAGCACCGGCUAACUACGUG